GCGGGUGUAGUUCAGUGGUAGAACACCGGCCUUCCAAGCCGGAUGCGUGGGUUCGAUUCCCAUCACCCGCUCCA
rnacentral:tRNA from 5 species